UACGGAGGAGGCAAGCGUUAUCCGGAAUCAUUGGGCGUAAAGCGUCCGCAGGUGGCACUUCAAGUCUGUCGUCAAAGACUGGGGCUUAACCCCGGAAAGGCGGUGGAAACUGAAGCGCUAGAGUGCGGUAGGGGUAGAGGGAAUUCCCGGUGUAGCGGUGAAAUGCGUAGAGAUCGGGAAGAACAUCGGUGGCGAAAGCGCUCUACUGGACCGCAACUGACACUCAGGGACGAAAGCUAGGGGAGCGAAUGGG
rnacentral:rRNA from 1 species